GUGCCCACUUCAGCAGCACAUAUACUAAAAUUAUAACAACACAGAGAAGAUUGGCAUGGCCCCUGCACAAGGAUGACCCUGAAAUUUGUGAAACAUUCCAUAGUUUU
ensembl:snRNA U6 U6 spliceosomal RNA